rnacentral:tRNA from 1 species
GCCCCCGUAGCCAAGCGGAUUAAGGCACGCACCUGCUAAGUGCCUGAUCGUAGGUUCGAAUCCUACCGGGGGCGCCA